AAGGAUGAUCAUAUUUGCCACCCCAAUCUUAGGAACCACUUAGGUGGGCCUGUGUUGUUGAUAUACUUCUGAAUCUGACUC
rnacentral:snoRNA from 1 species